AGAGAGAGAGCAAGCCACAAGUUUGGGUGUGGAGAUGGGGAAAAGAGGGAACUUGGAGUCUCGAAUCCAUACACACACAGGUGUUUUCUCAACCAAAUGUUGUGGGAACCGUGAACCAGAAGACAGGAAUUCUGAGUUCCCCUUGGGUUCCAGGCUCUGUGUCGAGGAGCAGCUCCAGUGAAACCCACUUCAUCUCCUGUCUGGAGUUCCCAUCUCCCCUGCGCAGGGGGAAGCAGAAGCCAGACCCUGCUGCUCACCUGCUGGACCGCGCAAAGGGAUCCCCUCCAGCUGCAGUCGUGAGCAGCUGGAGUUAGCAAGCCUGGGAGCCAGAGUUCCACAAAUUUGCCAGCUUCUAGGAGCUCUGGCAUAUGAACGUGCUUGAGAACCUGCCAUUCUUCUGAUGUUGAAAUUUGGAUGAAAUACAACACAGAAGUUAAAGGAACCAAGAAACAGAAUCAGAGGAUAAACUGCAGUCUUAGAAAUUACAUUUGGAAAUUACACCCUCACAUGUGGAUGAUAGGAGAUGAGGCUGAAGCACAGGCUUGGACCAGCCAGAGGAAGGCCCUGCCACCAGGAAGAGGCAUGUGUGGAGCCGCUGGGGCACUAAGUGAACCACUGACAGAAUUGCCCUGCAGAGACACGAGGCCAGAGCAGAGAGAUGAGCAGCCAGGAGGAGAAAGGCCGGAGGCUUGCUCUAGCAUCCUGGUAAGCAUGCAGCUCUCUGCAGUCUGCAAGGGUCCCCAGGCUCUGCCCACACCUCAUCUCAGCGACACAGUGAGCUCCAACCCUGCAGCUCCGGCAUCCCACCUGAGCCCAUGAUCUCAACCAAGUGCAGAGGGCCUGUGACUAGCAUGUGACUCAGCAGCCAGCCCAGGGACAGGCCACAGUGGGAUGGGGAAAGAGGAGCUCAGCUUAGGUGUGGGGAGGGGAGGUCGUUUCCAGCAGGGGGAUGACCUGGGCUCUUGAAAUCCAUUCAUUCACUCAUUCAUUGAUGAAUUCAUCCAUUCAACAAAACUUUUAUUGAGCACCUCGUAUAUUUGGGUCCUGUGGGAGACCAAACGCUAUCUGUAGAAGCUCGAUUUAGUUGGCAGAAGUGUAAGAACUAGACACGCAAAGGGAGACACAAACACAGGAGAGGCAGAGAGAAAAGCACUGUGGAAUCCAAAGAGGGAAAAAGCAUUCCUGCUGAGAGCAACGGGAAGGCUUCCUGAGCAGGCCCAUUGCAGCAGCACCUUGAAAGACAUCAUUUCAACAGAAGGGCCCAGGAGGAGUAGGAAGGAACAGCAGGCCAGGCAGAAGAAGGCCGUGAGCUUCUGGGGGCAGGAACUUUAGCAGUUUUGUUCUGUCCCUGAUCCCUGCAGGGCUCAAUAAUCAAGUGUCCUGUUUCCUGAGAGAGGCAAUGAACUUCUCCUGGCCCCUCCACCUUCCCUCCCCAUCUAGACCCAUCACUGAUCACCUAAACUUCUCUCUCUACAGCAUUCAGUCUCCUGAACCCUUUCUCUUCUGCCAAACCCACGCCACUGACAUCAAAGGCAAAACAUCUCUUCUCUUGACUCCACAAAUCUUUCCUUGCAUCCUUGAUCUUGCCCUUGCCUGGCCCUAGGACCCCUUCUCCUCCAGUGGCCUCCGUCUCUCCAUCUAUUUAGCCUCUUUCUCUCUAGGCAACAUCCCUUCAGCUGAUAAAUGUAGUUAAGUCUCUGUCAGCCCCAAACCUCCACACUUCCUGAUUAGACGCUGCAUUUCCUGAGGACAAGAGUCCACUCAGUACCAUAUGCAUCUCUUUAUGGGCCCCUCUGAACCUAAGGACAGGACCCUAGGCUCAGUAAACAUGCACCAACAUGAAUGGAUGGAAGAUCUGAUCUUG
ensembl:lincRNA